CCCGCCGGGCGGGCAGGAAGGGCCCCGCCGCCGCGGGCAGCCCCGGGCGGCGCAGGAAGCCCUGCCGGCCCCUCCACCGCUCCCGCCCCGCGCCGCGGCUCCGGCAGUGAUAAAGUGCAGCUGAAUUGAUCCACCUUGUGACCACACAGCCGGAGGAUCGAGGAAGGCAGAAACCUGGAAGUGAGGGAAAGCAGAACUGCUCCUUUCAGCAGCUGUCUGUCAUUAAAUCAGCUUAACUGCAUCCUGUGCGCAUGACUUCAUGAGCCACGCAAACCAGGCCAACCCAGUUUUCUCUUGACAGCCUGUGAAGCUCUUCACUUCAGCAUCUGACCCAUUUCCCCCGCCUGCCCCCCUGCCCCCAGCGCCUCUUCAAGGCUUCAAAACUUGAGGCAUCUUCAAAUGACUGCGCAGCCCGUGUCCUGCCCAUGAUUCACCCAGGGAAUCGAGACAGGGUGCCUGCUAUUGACUUUUCAUCACUCAAAGAUGAGAGAGCUCAGGAGCAUCCUGAGCUGCUGGGUUUUUUGCUGCUGUUCUUUGAACAAGAAUUAUGGCACUGGUCAGAGGACGGGUGGAAGGGGGUGUGCAAGGUGGCGUUUGUAACCCUAAAUGGAACUCUUUUUGCAUUUCCUUUAGUCCUUUGGUCCCAUUUAAGAAUCACUGAGCCAUGAUGACAAGGGCAAAACUAAUGUAAAUACAGCCAAAAGCAUUGUUUGGUGCGUUGCAAAACUUUUGCUUUAAUAAAAACCCAAAGAAGAA